UACGUAGGGUGCGAGCGUUGUCCGGAAUUAUUGGGCGUAAAGAGCUCGUAGGCGGUCUGUUGCGUCUGCUGUGAAAACCCGAGGCUCAACCUCGGGCCUGCAGUGGGUACGGGCAGACUAGAGUGCGGUAGGGGAGAAUGGAAUUCCUGGUGUAGCGGUGGAAUGCGCAGAUAUCAGGAGGAACACCGAUGGCGAAGGCAGUUCUCUGGGCCGUAACUGACGCUGAGGAGCGAAAGCGUGGGGAGCGAACAGG
rnacentral:rRNA from 1 species